rnacentral:rRNA from 1 species
CCCUUAGACGUUCUGGGCCGCACGCGCGCUACACUGACCAGUGCAACAAGCAUCCGUCCUUGGCCGACAGGCCCGGGCAAUCUUUGAACGCUAGUCGUGAUGGGGAUAGACUUUUGCAAUUUUUGGUCUUCAACGAGGAAUUCCUAGUAAACGCAAGUCAUCAACUUGCAUUGAUUACGUCCCUGCCCUUUGUACACACCGCCCGCCGCACCUACCGAUUGAAUGGUCCGGUGAAGCCUCCGGAUUGGCGCGCACCUCGGUGCCGCCGAGAAGUUGGCUAAACCUUACCAUUUAGAGGAAGGUGAAGUCGUAACA